UUGGAUGGGUUAGGCUGGACUUGGAUCAUCAUGUCUACCGCUAAUUCCACUUCCAUCGUUCCUACGGACAAUCCUGCUCUUUCUGGAACUCUCCUUACUUAUAACUCUGUCGUUUUGUCUUCAUUUGUAUUGUUUGUAAUCUCGGCUGUAGUUUGGGUCAUACUUAGUUUCCUGCAAAAGAGGACCAAGAAGUUUCUGGGUUGCUGUGGAGGGCGGCCAGGAAUUGUUUUGUGAGUCAGGAAUAAUGAUAUUCAUCAG